rnacentral:tRNA from 1 species
GGGCGCGUGGUGGAACUGGUAUACACGUACGCUUCAGAAGCGUAUUCCGCAAGGAUUGAGGGUUCGAGUCCCUCCGCGCCCA